ACGGUCGACUACGUUCGUCGGCGUUCGAGAAUUCGUCUUUAUUACGACGCCUUCGUUCGGCAGACGCCAUGGAAAUGAUCUCUCCGUCGCGAUUACGACGGGAUGGCCAUUGGUAAAGUGGUACCCUUGAAAGCACUGUCGACAUCACCGGCAUCACCGAUCCCCUACAGUGUUCCGAAUAAGAGCCAUACUUGUUUUGCGAACACUUUCGAAUUGUAACGGAAUUACGUCUCCUCGUAAUGACAGGUUUGGGAAAUUCAUCUGUGCGGGAAUAUCAACGAAACAGAAUUUAUAAAUCCACCUUCGUUGCUAUAGAAUGGUCAAACAUUCGUGUUAAAAUGGACUUCGGUGACAAAGAUAAGUAUAAUAUUUUAAUUUACUUUAAUAAUGAUUCCAUUAUAAUUAAUUAAACAUUUAAAUUCUUUUAUUAUUAAAUAAUGCGAUAUACAGAAAGGAAGAGAGAUCAAUUCGUGUACUCUUCGUAGAGUAUUCAAUUCAGUUUUAUUUAUUUGUUAUUACUUGUUCAUAAACAAUUGAGUUUCCACAUGUAAGUUAUAUACGAUCUGAAAAAGUGGUAUUGUUUGCAAUGUAUUCAACGAUACAACGUAAAUAGUGACUUUGUACUUUGGUACACGUUUCAAAAAUAUAUGCUU